UGGGGAAUCUUGGACAAUGGGGGCAACCCUGAUCCAGCGACGCCGCGUGGGUGGUAAGGCCUUCGGGUUGUAAAGCCCUUUCAGCGGGGAAGAUGAUGACAUUACUCGCAGAAGAAGCGCCGGCUAACUCCGUGCCAGCAGCCGCGGUAAGACGGAGGGCGCUAGCGUUGUUCGGAAUCACUGGGCGUAAAGGGCGCGUAGGCGGCUGCUUAAGUCGAGGGUGAAAGCCCGGGGCUCAACCUCGGAACGGCCUUCGAGACUGGGCGGCUAGAGAUCGGAAGAGGAGGGUGGAAUACCCAGUGUAGAGGUGAAAUUCGUAGAUAUUAGGAAGAACACCAGUGGCGAAGGCGGCUUACUGGACCGGCAUUGACGCUGAGGUGCGAAAGCGUGGGGAGCGAACAGGAUUAGAUACCCCGGUAGUCC
rnacentral:rRNA from 1 species